AUCGUUGGCCCAGUUUAUCUGGGUGGAAGUAAGGUCUUUGGCCUGAAGCAACGCGCC
rnacentral:ncRNA from 20 species